AACAUCUAUCAGCAUGUGUUAACCCUCCUACAGGAAGCUGAUCGACUGAUUAUAAUGACACCAUAUGAUGUCGAUCCCCCCUCCUUCUUUACAUGCACACAUCUUUAUUCAGUGUGACAGUAUCAUUGCAGCUCUUUAUUCAUCUUGACAGGAAUAAUGAUCAAACUCUUCAUUCCUUUAGUGGCUCUGCACCUCUGUUCUACAGAACCAUCAAAAAACAGCGUUCAUCAGACUCCAGCUGUUGUUAUUAAAGGACCAGGAGAAUCAGUUCACUUGAAAUGCAACCAUUCAAACACCAACUUUGACAUGAUCCAGUGGUACAAACAGCCUCCUGGGAAAACUGAUAUGAGUCUGCUUGGUUAUACUCGCUUCACUAAUAGUGUUGUUGAAGAUCCAUUUAAAAGCUUGUAUAAUGUAACUGGUAAUGGCCAGAGUCAGACGUCUCUUAUUAUUUCAAAGCUGAGACAGUCUGAGGACAGUGGAGUAUAUUUCUGUGCUGCCAGUGAAGCACAGUGCUGUAUGAAGCUUCCAGCUUCAACAAAAACCCUCUCUGAUAAAGAAGGACCCAUCAUUCACCUGCUGAUAACAUGAGCCGCAAGAAAACCGCAGUGGAGAAACUGCUCACCCAGCUGUAGAAUGAUACUGUCCACUAGGAGGCAGUAUAUCUCAACAUGUUGUCCUAUACAAGAGUAUUUUCAAUUUUUUAUGACAUUGUAAAUUACAUAGAAUAUAUGUUAAAUAAUGUAUGAAAUAUGUAAAAAUGAAUUGACAACGAAUUUAAUUUCCAGACAACCAAAACAAGACAUCUCUUUAUC